rnacentral:rRNA from 1 species
UACGUAGGGUGCAAGCGUUAAUCGGAAUUACUGGGCGUAAAGCGUGCGCAGGCGGCUAUGCAAGACAGAUGUGAAAUCCCCGGGCUCAACCUGGGAACUGCAUUUGUGACUGCAUGGCUAGAGUACAGUAGAGGGGGAUGGAAUUCCGCGUGUAGCAGUGAAAUGCGUAGAUAUGCGGAGGAACACCGAUGGCGAAGGCAAUCCCCUGGACCUGUACUGACGCUCAUGCACGAAAGCGUGGGGAGCAAACAGG